rnacentral:rRNA from 1 species
AUUGAACGCUGGCGGCAUGCUUUACACAUGCAAGUCGAACGGUAACAGGCCGCAAGGUGCUGACGAGUGGCGAACGGGUGAGUAAUGCAUCGGAACGUGCCCAGUCGUGGGGGAUAACGCAGCGAAAGCUGCGCUAAUACCGCAUACGAUCUAUGGAUGAAAGCGGGGGACCGUAAGGCCCCGCGCGAUUGGAGCGGCCGAUGUCAGAUUAGGUAGUUGGUGAGGUAAAGGCUCACCAAGCCGACGAUCUGUAGCUGGUCUGAGAGGACGACCAGCCACACUGGGACUGAGACACGGCCCAGACUCCUACGGGAGGCAGCAGUGGGGAAUUUUGGAUAAUGGGGGCAACCCUGAUCCAGCAAUGCCGCGUGCAGGAAGAAGGCCUUCGGGUUGUAAACUGCUUUUGUACGGAACGAAACGGCUCUGGUUAAUAUCUGGGGCUAAUGACGGUACCGUAAGAAUAAGCACCGGCUAACUACGUGCCAGCCGCCGCUGUAAAAC